GAUGAACGCUGGCGGCGUGCCUAAUACAUGCAAGUCGAGCGAACAGACGAGGAGCUUGCUCCUCUGACGUUAGCGGCGGACGGGUGAGUAACACGUGGAUAACCUACCUAUAAGACUGGGAUAACUUCGGGAAACCGGAGCUAAUACCGGAUAAUAUAUUGAACCGCAUGGUUCAAUAGUGAAAGACGGUUUUGCUGUCACUUAUAGAUGGAUCCGCGCCGCAUUAGCUAGUUGGUAAGGUAACGGCUUACCAAGGCAACGAUGCGUAGCCGACCUGAGAGGGUGAUCGGCCACACUGGAACUGAGACACGGUCCAGACUCCUACGGGAGGCAGCAGUAGGGAAUCUUCCGCAAUGGGCGAGAGCUUGACGGAGCAACGCCGCGUGAGUGAUGAAGGUCUUCGGAUCGUAAAACUCUGUUAUUAGGGAAGAACAAAUGUGUAAGUAACUAUGCACGUCUGACG
rnacentral:rRNA from 1 species